rnacentral:rRNA from 1 species
UGGGGAAUAUUGCACAAUGGGCGCAAGCCUGAUGCAGCCAUGCCGCGUGUAUGAAGAAGGCCUUCGGGUUGUAAAGUACUUUCAGCGGGGAGGAAGGGAGUAAAGUUAAUACCUUUGCUCAUUGACGUUACCCGCAGAAGAAGCACCGGCUAACUCCGUGCCAGCAGCCGCGGUAAUACGGAGGGUGCAAGCGUUAAUCGGAAUUACUGGGCGUAAAGCGCACGCAGGCGGUUUGUUAAGUCAGAUGUGAAAUCCCCGGGCUCAACCUGGGAACUGCAUCUGAUACUGGCAAGCUUGAGUCUCGUAGAGGGGGGUAGAAUUCCAGGUGUAGCGGUGAAAGGCGUAGAGAUCUGGAGGAAUACCGGUGGCGAAGGCGGCCCCCUGGACGGAGACUGACGCUCAGGUGCGAAAGCGUGGGGAGCAAACAGG